rnacentral:rRNA from 1 species
AGAGUUUGAUUCUGGCUCAGAACGAACACUGGCGGCGCGCCUAAUACAUGCAAGUCGAACGGGAAAGUGAGGUUCGCCUCACGAGUAUAGUGGCGACCGGGUGAGUAACGCGUUAGUAAUCUACCUUUCAGUUGGGGAUAACCUUGUUAAAACGGGGCUAAUACCGAAUAGCAUUCCGAUGCCGCAUGGCAUUGUGAUAAAAGGUGCGUAAGUACCGCUGGAAGAUGAACUUGCGUCCCAUUAGCUAGUUGGCGGGGUAAUGGCCCACCAAGGCGACGAUGGGUAGCCGGCCUGAGAGGGUGUACGGCCACAUUGGGACUGAGAUACGGCCCAGACUCCUACGGGAGGCAGCAGUAGGGAAUUUUGCGCAAUGGACGAAAGUCUGACGCAGCGACGCCGCGUGAGUGAUGAAGGUCUUCGGAUUGUAAAGCUCUUUUAGGAGGGAAGAACCUGCAGGUGAAUAAUCUGCACUGACGGUACCUCCAGAAAAAGCUCCGGCUAACUCUGUGCCAGCAGCCGCGGUAAUACAGGGGGAGCUAGUGUUGUUCGGAUUUACUGGGUGUAAAGGGAGCGUAGGCGGAAAUUUAAGUCAGGGGUGGAAUUUCGAGGCUCAACCUUGAACUUGCCUCUGAUACUGGAUUUCUAGAGUAUGGGAGAGGACGAUGGAAUUCCUGGUGUAGCGGUGGAAUGCGUAGAUAUCAGGAGGAACACCGAUGGCGAAGGCAGUCGUCUGGAACAAUACUGACGCUGAGGCUCGAAAGCAUGGGGAGCAAACAGGAUUAGAUACCCUGGUAGUCCAUGCCCUAAACUAUGGAUACUAGAUAUCGAAGGAAUCAAAUCUUUCGGUGUCGAAGCUAACGCAUUAAGUAUCCCACCUGGGGAGUACGGUCGCAAGUCUGAAACUCAAAGAAAUUGACGGGGGCCCGCACAAGCGGUGGAGCAUGUGGUUCAAUUCGAU